rnacentral:lncRNA from 1 species
CCAAACUUGUAAAGGAGGAUAUUCCAGUCACCAGCCUUCAGAUGACGCCCGCUUUCCCAACCCCAGCUGACUGCAGACAUUCCCCAAAUAGGAUGUUAUAGAGAUGAAUGAAGCAAUGUUUCCAAGAUGCUUGGAGGUCUGGGAUGAAAAUCUGCUGAAACAGAGCAAAAAGCUAAGUCGUGAUCAGCCUUGCAUACAGCGGAAUGUAGAUCCUCGUCAUCGGAUUUGGACCCAGUGUAGACAGCACCUGAGCAUCAGUCAACUCCACCUUCUAAAGCCUGUGUUUAGCCACUGCAUCAAAAAGCAAAAGUACCAAUGGACAUUCUUCACCCUGGUUCAGCGUUUCUUCAGCCAAGUGCUUACUCAAGGAACCAAGAAUAAGAGAUAACAAUUUUUUAAAUAUGCAGAAACCCACCAAUAUGAAAAAAGAAGAUUGAAGGCCUUAUAAAAUAUAAAUGUUUCCUCACUGGUGACAGCCCUGCCACUAUUAAGCAUUGGUAUAUUAGUCCCCAAGACAUUUACUGCCAUCUGUUGGAAAAUUAGUAGAAUGAAUACAUUAAUCUAAGAUGACCACAAACAUACAUGUCAUCACAUAGUUUUGUGUAGUGUACAAUCUACAACAUACGAGGAUGCAAACCAAAAGUUUUGAGAAGGGAUAAUCAUGCUUAAAAUAAGCCCCACAGACAAUAUUAUUACCAUUAUUUUUCAUUGAUAAUGUAUUCAAUUAGAUAGUAGACAUUUGAGGAAAUGACAAAUAAGAAAGAUCUAAUUGUGACAUAAUUUAUUCAAUAAUUCAUUUAUACAGAAAAUAUUUAUCAAGUGUCUAUAAUGAGUCGAGCUUUAUUCUGGGAUCUAGUUAUAGAGCAAUGAAUAAAUAACACAGACAAAAUUAUCUCCCCUUACAGAGUUUCUGUGGGGAAAAACAAUAAAGUUUAGAUAAGUAUGUCAUUUAUGAGAUAGUAAUAAUUGCUAAAGACAAAAAGUCAAGGAUAAGAAAUACAAAAAUGUUGGGUGAUAAGUAGUUUGAGAAAAAACUUAGGAAGUUCACACAGUGGGGAAUAGUUUGUGUCACUUUAGUCAUAAUGAAAGGCCUUAUCAUAUAUAGGCAUCAAACAGUCUUCAAAAGAAUAUUGCCUUAGUACUGGGGCUACAUUGACUCUAAACCAAAAGCUGCUCUGACCUGCCCUAACAAAGUUCAAAACAAAGACUUGAAAGAAUGCAACUAAUCCCAACUAACUUGACUUUAUGCCAGAACAAAAUCCAACAUGAUUUAAAGAAAAACAACCAAAUUCAGCAAACAGCAAUAAAAAUUUCACAAUGCUUGGUAUCCAAUCAAGUAUAAUUAGUUUUGCAAAGUAGGAAAAUUUAUCCAAAACCAAGAAAAAAUUAAUAAAAGCAGAUUUUAAAAGAUCAGAGCUGAUAAAAUUAGGAGACAGAGACAUUGAGACAGCCAGGCUAAGUAUAUCCAAUGUGUUUAAGAAAAUAGAUGAAUAUAUAAGAAUCAAGAGAAAAGAAAUGGUAGAUUUUUUUAGAUGAUAUUAAAAGUAGAUUUGACACUGUAAAAUAAAUAAUCAAUGAACUUAAAAAUAUAAAAAUAAAUAAAGUGCAGAGAGAAAAAAUAAAAAUAAAGAUCAGAGUAUCCAUGUCCUGAGAGAAUAUCAAAUAGUCUAACAUUUGUGUAAUUGGUGUCCUAGAAGGGUAAUGUGCAGAAAAAGACACUAAUAAAAUAAAAUAAAUCACUAACAUUUUCCAAAUUUGGUGAAAACUAUAAAAUUUCCUGUACUGGGUUGAAUAGUGUGUCUCCCUCCCAAACUCAAGAAACACACACACCAAAUUCAUGUCCAUCCAGAACCUGUGACAGUGACCUUAGCUCGAAAUAGGGUUUUUGUAGAUGUAAUCAAGUUAAGAAGAGUUAAUGCUAAACUAAGAUGUACCCUAAUCUAGUGACUUGUGUCCUUGUAAAAACAGGAAAAUUUGUGCACAGAAAUAUGUGAAGAGGUCAUGUGAAGACAUAAACAGAUAUUGGAGUAAGGUAUCUACAAGCCAAGGAACACUAAAAAUUACUAGCAACCACCAGAACCAAGAAGAGACAAGGAAGGAGUCUUCCCUAGACCCUUCAGAGGGAGCAUGGCCCUGCCAAAAUCUUGA